UCCCCUUAAAAGAAAAUUUAGUCCUCUAAAUUGAUCAUAGUUCAAUCGAUGAAAAGAUGAGGAUUAUGAUUUCUUUAUUUCCUCCUCCUACUCUCAAAUAAUUUCAUCAAUACAAUACAAUUACACAAUUAUCCAAGAGUGACCAAAAUAUUCUCCUCCUUGAUCCUCAAUAGAUGGUAACCCGACCUUCAAUCAAUUUUUAAAAAUACUUGUGCACCCUGCAGUUAAUCAAGCAAGUCGUUACUUAAGAAAAUAC
rnacentral:lncRNA from 1 species